AGGAGUCGUAGGGAACUUGGGAAGUGAGCCAGGUCAAGAACCACUCGUAUUGGUGCCUAGAUUUGCUCUUCUCCAAGCCCUUAGGUGCAACCAUUUUUUCCCCCUUAGGCCUGGAUCCCUGAGGUUUGCUCCCUGAUAUCCCAAGACAAUUUGGUCCCAAGAGAAAACACUGGAGCUAUAUAGUGCUGAGUGAAGAAAAAGUAGAAGGGCAAAGACUAGGUCUCAGGUGCACCCAGAUUGGAGCUGGGAGAGUCUGGAGACAAACGAAACUACCUGGCCAAGCCAAGUACUGUUAGCACUUCGGCUACAGGAUCAGACUUUGCACAAACUGAUGGGAACCAAAACCAAGUGAAGAGGAUUGAAGAUGAACCCACAUUUCAAAAGUCCUUGUCUGCUGGAGGUGGCAUUACCUGUGACCUCGCUUCACAUCUUCAUACUUGGCUGUUGCAGCAGGAGCCUGGAUAUGAUGCUCAAGUGACACAGGCAUUGACUACAAGUUGGACAAAAUGGGCUUUUAGUUUUUUCCAAGCCUGAGACUCUGAGUUUGUAAUUCUUUGGCUGGGGAGAAAGUAAACUUUACUUACCAAUGCCUGUGCUGAUCAGAUAACCUCAAAGCCCAGACACACUGCAUAAUUCUCUGACAGCAAUAACUCAGCUGGCAGUUCCCAGGCAGAGAUGUGGGAGAAAGUCCAAUAUCCGGGAAGCGCUAGGAUCUACAACUUCCUGUGGUCUGCCUACUGAAAUUUGACCAGAUAAGAACAGUUAAUAAGCAGUUCUUGAGAUAGAAAAUCUUCUUUUAUCUCUGAAUGUGGAUAUAUUGAUGUUAAAUAUCUGAAUGGAUGAGGUUAAUUUGAAUAAUCUUCUAUUGUUGCAAGAAAUGCGGAAAAAUGUUCAGGAAAACUUGAAAAACUCUUCAUACCUAUGGCAUGAACCGAAAGAA
rnacentral:lncRNA from 1 species